AUGAUCAUCAUGAAAUCAACAAAUUAUAUACGUAUAAUAGAAGAGAAAAAAAUUCCUAUGGAAGAGUUUGACGAGAACAAGGGCACCCUGGAUGGACACACUGAAGAUCCCUCUUGCUGUGUGGAACACGCCACGCUUGACGACGUCUCCGUCUGGGAGUGGUCUGGUUCUGCCUAUGAUGAAGGAGCUGAAGCAGCUGAAUGGCUCUCCACCUAUUUCGGGAAGCCAUGUCGGCUCGUGUGUUUUAAAGAAGUAUGCUCAAGGCUGCUCACCUUCACGGAUUGCUUCCCGUUCCUGAUAGCAUCCCAGGGCUCAUUGAAUGCACUAAAUGAGGUUCUUAAAGAACCUGUACCAAUCAAUCGCUCCAGACCAAAUAUUUUAGUUGAUGGAUGCCACCCGCAUGGAUAG
rnacentral:rRNA from 1 species